AUUGAACGCUGGCGGCAUGCCUUACACAUGCAAGUCGAACGGCAGCAUGAUCUAGCUUGCUAGAUUGAUGGCGAGUGGCGAACGGGUGAGUAAUACAUCGGAACGUGCCCUGUAGUGGGGGAUAACUAGUCGAAAGAUUAGCUAAUACCGCAUACGACCUGAGGGUGAAAGUGGGGGACCGCAAGGCCUCAUGCUAUAGGAGCGGCCGAUGUCUGAUUAGCUAGUUGGUGAGGUAAAGGCUCACCAAGGCGACGAUCAGUAGCUGGUCUGAGAGGACGACCAGCCACACUGGGACUGAGACACGGCCCAGACUCCUACGGGAGGCAGCAGUGGGGAAUUUUGGACAAUGGGCGAAAGCCUGAUCCAGCAAUGCCGCGUGUGUGAAGAAGGCCUUCGGGUUGUAAAGCACUUUUGUCCGGAAAGAAAUGGCUCUGGUUAAUACCUGGGGUCGAUGACGGUACCGGAAGAAUAAGGACCGGCUAACUACGUG
rnacentral:rRNA from 1 species